rnacentral:lncRNA from 1 species
CAUGUUCAGUACAUGUGCAGUUGUUCUUUUUCCAAAUAUUGUUGAACUGCAAAUAGUUGAUUCUACAGAUAAUGGGAGGGUGUCCAUCUUUAGGAAGGCUAUGAGCAGGCAGCCUCUUAGGAAUUCAGCCAAGAGGAAAAGCACUCUGAUUAUGAAUGGAACAGUAGGAAACUGAUUCCUGCAAAUGAUAGCAGCAAGACAAGAACCACGGAUCAGAGAAAUGACAGGAAGGAGGAAUGCUCCCUGCCAGUAGCCUCAUGCCAGGGAACAACUACCACACUAAUCCCCAUGGUCUCAUGAAGCAGUGACUGUAACAAUCUUCAUUCUACAGAUGUGGAGACCCAGGCACGGAGGGAAAGUCAUGGCCCUGGUGACACAACUAGAAAGGAUGCAGCAGGCUGGCAGCCUGUUCUGGGACUAAACCCACAGCUUGAAUUCUGAGCUGCUGCAUUUUGCCACCUUGCAGUGUGACAUGCUUGUCACAAGCUUGGAGUGCAGAGUUCGUGUUCUCAGCACAGCUAUUCACGUCUGAAGAUAAAGAACUUUUAUGCUGAGCCUGAGGCAGGUGUAUACACAACCAUUUAUCAAAGUCCACCUGGGUCCAGACAUCUGGUAAGCCCUGGAAGUACACAGCAGGAUCCUGCCAGUCUCUGCCCUCAUGGAGACUGGCCAGUCGGUAAUACCAGAUUAAAU